CUGUUCAAUUGUAUAUAAGGGUAAAUCGUGCUGUGAUCGAUAUUAUAUCUUUGAAUCGAAUUGUCAAUGCGCUAUUUCAAAACCUGUUCAAAUAUUGUAUCACAAGAGAAGUUAUUGUCAACCUUAUCUUAAAAAGGAACUUGUUAUCGGACGUUUGUUUAUUUAUUUAUGUAUGAGAUGCUACUGUUACCAUGAGAAACACUCAUCUUGAAUGAAUGUUUGAUAUAAGGUAAACAAAAUCAUCAAGAUGUGUCUUAAAUGGAUUGUUCGAUUAUCGAUUGUGGUUGCUUCUCAGAAAAAAAGAAGAAGAAGAAUAUGAAUUAUCGUAUUAUUAUUGACAUUUAAAUAGUUUUGAAAAUGUUGAACAUGUCUGAAGUGAAAAACGUAAAAUGUGUGUGUAUAAGGAGAAAAUUUGAAUGUAAGAUAAUUACAAUUAUAUUUAAAAAUGCUUCCCAAUGUUACAACCACUACGUUGGUUGGAUAAGUGUUUUGCUAUCUUCAGUUGCAUGUGUACUGUUUGUAAAUUGGUGUUUUUAUCUUCAAAUGUUUCCUUUAGCCAUAGUGUUGUUUGAGUUUCGUUGACAUUCUAAGCAUUCAUGUUUUUUUAAUUACUUAAAACAUUAAGACUACCAGAACUUAAAAAAUAAGUCAAACCAAAUAAAAGACAAAAGACAGAACAGAAAUGGCGGCCAAACAUUUUGACCUUAACAGUUUUUGUUAAUCGAUAAAGUUAUUAUAGCUCGUGAACAAACUUAUCACACACGGUCACAAAAAAAGAAAAAAAACCUAUUUAGUAAAAACACUUGGUGUAUAUUAAGUCUGAGCACUUGUAAAUAAGGUGAAAUAAGUUGCCACGUCCAGACAGCAACCAAUAUAAUUUUCAUAUGAAUUCAAAUAAAACAGAAAACACCAUUUUUGUAAGCAAAUUUUGUACCUGUACUUGUUCAGUGCAAAUUUGAACAUUAAGGCCGUGUUCACACCAAACGCCAUGUACAGUAAACAUGUUUACAAUUACUUUAAUGUAAUGUACAUUGGUUUUACAUUGAAUUUGUUCUCAUCAAUACACCUGGUUUAAUUACCUGUACAUUAGAUUUGUUCACACUUGUAAACUAUAUGUCAUUUAAAUGCUCAUUACAUAUAAUCGAAUUCAAAUUUCUCGGACAAUUUUUCUAGCAGUUAGGAAACAAUGAUUUGACUUCAAAAAGGGGGUAUGUUUUUUCCUUAAAAAAUAUUCUGAUCCCCAAUUUGACCACAAAAGAAAUAUUCUGGUCAAGCAGAUGACAAAAAAAAAUAUUCCUAAUCCAGAUUUUCCCCGUACCUUAUAUUGUUAAAUAUUGAAAAAAAAUGCUUUGAGUCUUGAUAAGGGAAUAAUAAAGCUACCUAAAGUUUUUAUCAAGUUUAGACAAAUAAUUAUGUAAAGAAAAUUAUUAAUAAUUGUUAUAAAUAACAAUUUUAUCUAAAAAACGUUUCUUCCUUAAAUAUACAUGGUAAAAUCCAUGUUCUAAAUAUCUAGUUUUGUGUAAACUCAACCCACACAUGGCCUACAUUGACUAUCGACUGCAUGUAGACAAAACAUGAUUUAAACUACAUGUAAACAUAGAGUUGUAUCAAUGAGAACGUAACUGUGUUUAGUUUGCGUGUGAAUUGCACUAACACAACACCGAGUUUAGGUCAAUGUGAACACGGCUUAAGACAAAAAGUUUAGAUGUACUUAUCUUUGUAAUUCACACUAAUUCUACUUUACUGGUUUAAACUUUUUCAUCUAAAAGAAGUAUGUCCAUUGAUUUUUCAAUAUCUUUCUUUUAUUUUCAUUGCACUAUUCAUCAAAAUACCUUUACGAUCGAUUCAUUUGGCAACCAUUAUAUAUUUCAUCUAUAUUGCGUUUUUGAAUUCAAAAAUAAGGAGAUUUGGUGUGAUUAACAAUAAAACAACUAUCCACCAGAGACCAUAUGACAUAGAUUUAAGCAAAUACGGGUCAUUGUACAGCCUUCAACAUUUAGCAAAAUUAUAUAAAAAAAAAUACCAACUCCAAAGUAAAUCUAAAGAAAGGGAAGUCCAUCAUAAAAACUGACAAUUCAAACGUUAUCAAUCGACGUAAUGAGGAGAAACCUCAGUAAUUUUUCUGACUUGGUACAUACAUGGCGAGUCAAACCUGGUUUUAUAGCUAGCUAAACUGCUUAAUUAUGUGACAGUUCUGUUAUAUUGACAAAUUGGUUGAGCAACUCAAACAGGCAUAAAAGGUGAAUGAGAAAAUAAUUGGGAUCCAGCAGCCAAAAAUAUAUAAACAUACAACACAGACAUGCAACACAACUGACUUUAAAUUCAAACAACCUUACAAAUGAAUGUAAAACAAAUCGCCGACACAAAUGUUGUAGUUGAUAGUAUAUUGACAAAGACGCCGAUAAAAAAAAUUUGUACAAUGUAUUUUAUGAUAUUAGUACAUACCAUAUAUAGUAUACACUUCCUCAAUAAAGAACAAAUUAAGUAAAAUAUAAAAACAAGGGUAAAGACAAUGGAAACAACACUGUAAAAACCUUUUGCGUCCGCAAUGCACUUCAGAACUCUUCCUUUCGAAAAUUUUACGAUUUUGCUUCUUACGCAUAAACUGCUCCAACAUAGUUAAAAGGAUGAAAAAUAAAAAAAUGACAAUCCGAAAGUUUAAUGGACACCAUCACGAUUUGGUUGAUCUAUAAUAUGUAUCUGUGUCUAAACUAACUAACGACAUGUUUACCACGUCUUACAUUGUGGCUAAUCAUCUAUGUCGUCUGGUCUGCUAAGUACCGAACGUGACUCCUUCCCGGAUAUGACUGUUUUGCCGAGAGUAAAUUCGCAUUGCUAUUAGACAUGUAUCGGUAUUUAUACAUCCAACAUUCAUGUAUUUAGCUAUAAUGUGUCUUUUGUAAGUCUGGUUGGAUAUUGUGGUAUAUGUUAUCCUUUGUGAUUUGAAUUCUAUUUUUAUUUUCUUUAUGUAUUUUAAAGUUUAGAUAAUUAAUCAGCAAGUUCAUUUAUAUGAUUUUUAGUUUUAAGCAACUAUAUGCAUAGGAUUUAUUUGUUUUUACACAAUUUUGAUUUAGAAAACCCGAAACGGUUAGAAAUACAAAUAAUUACACCAUUCCUAACACAAUUCUAUAUUAAUAUUCUUGUAAUGGUCAGAAAAUACAUAAUGUAACACCAUUACUAAUUUAAUCCCAAUUUCAUAUUAAAUUUUUAGAAUUUACCUGUGACGUCACUUUUUUAUAGCAUUGAUACAAACAUGUGACGCACAGUUCAGAAUUCUAAUGUGGUGUACUGGUGUACUAUGUACCAUAUAAGCGAGAGGUUUGGCUAGUUAUACAACAAGGUUCAACCCACAAUUUUUUUUAAAGUCCUCUGCCAAGUCCAGAAUAUGGCAGUUGUUAUCAAAUAAUCCGUUUCUGUUUAUGUUGGCGUUUGCUUUUGAAGCACUCUCUAUGUUUCUAUUGUUCCAUUGGUGUCCUCUUAUAGUUGAUGACUUUCCCUCGGUUUUGGUUUGUGAUCCGGAUAUUUUUUUAUAGCUUAAUUGAUUUAAGACUAUUGAAUAACGUUACACACCUGUUGUCCUUAUUUAACUUUUAUGGAAUAUCCGUUUCAAUCUUUGUUACCACAAUCCCGCCCCUUUUCAAGAAUUUGACCCACCGAAUUAUACUUAUGACCGGGUUUUUACCUACAUGAGCAAACCGACGGCUGUCGCAUAUGGAGCAGGAUCAGCUUACCCUUUUAGUUUUCUAAAUUAUGUUAAUAAACUAUUGUUUGUCUUUUUGGUCUUUUUAUUUGCCAUGACGUUGCUAAUAUAUCUUCCACCAGUGGGUUUGAAUGUCCCUUUGGUAUCUAUCGCUUCCAAGUCCCAACUUUACCAGGAAUAUGAUUUCAAAGAAAACAACAUAAUUUUAGUAAGCAGAUUUUGUAUCUGUACAUGUUGAGUGCAAAUCUUGACAUAUAGAUAUAUUGUUCUAAUUUGGAUUUGUAAACUUCUUCUGACGAACAAGAUCACAUUUAUUUAUAUUUUUUGGCAACCAUUAUAUAUUUUUAAUCUGUA